UCUGUCUAUGUCUCUGUGAUCCAGCAUAAACUUGCAAAUAUAGAAAUGUAUUCCUAUUUUGCCUUUUUCUAAAGAAGAAAAUGAUGUUUUUUUUGUGUACUUGAUCUCUACGCCAAGCCAUAAUUGAAAGGAACUAGUCUAGUACUAUAGUUUACCCCCGAAAUUAAGAAGGUAAGGCUAAGGAUGCAAGUGGGGAGUGAGGACACUAAUGAGCUAGUUAGUUUAUUUUUAUCUUA
rnacentral:lncRNA from 1 species